GAUGAAGAACGCAGCGAAAUGCGAUAAGUAAUGUGAAUUGCAGAAUUCAGUGAAUCAUCGAAUCUUUGAACGCACAUUGCGCCCCUUGGUAUUCCGAGGGGCAUGCCUGUUCGAGCGUCAUUACACCACUCAAGCUAUGCUUGGUAUUGGGCGUCGUCCUUAGUUGGGCGCGCCUUAAAGACCUCGGCGAGGCCACUCCGGCUUUAGGCGUAGUAGAAUUUAUUCGAACGUCUGUCAAAGGAGAGGAACUCUGCCGACUGAAACCUUUAUUUUUCUAGGUUGACCUCGGAUCAGGUAGGGAUACCCGCUGAACUUAAGCAUAUCAAUAAGCCGAGGA
rnacentral:misc_RNA from 1 species